UACGUAGGUGGCAAGCGUUGUCCGGAUUUAUUGGGCGUAAAGGGGGCGCAGGCGGUUUCUUAAGUCUGAUGUGAAAGCCCACGGCUCAACCGUGGAAGGUCAUUGGAAACUGGGGAACUUGAGUGCAGAAGGGGAGAGUGGAAUUCCAUGUGUAGCGGUGAAAUGCGUAGAUAUAUGGAGGAACACCAGUGGCGAAGGCGGCUUUCUGGCUAUUAACUGACGCUGAGGCGCGAAAGCGUGGGGAGCAAACAGG
rnacentral:rRNA from 1 species